GACGAACGCUGGCGGCGUGCUUAACACAUGCAAGUCGAACGGAAAGGCCCUGCUUUUGUGUGGUUCUCGAGUGGCGAACGUGUGUGUAACCCGUGAAUAUCCUUCCCUUUACUUUGUGAUAACUUCAGGCAACUGGUGCUAAUACCUGCUACGAGCUCCUGCUGCAUGGGGGGGUUUGGACCGUUUCGGCGGUUGGGGAUGGACUCGGGGCUUAUCAGCUUGUUGGUGGGGUAGUGGCUUACCAAGGCUUUGACGGGUAGCCGGCAUGAGAGGGUGGACGGCGACAAUGGGACUGAGAUACGGCGCAGACGCGUACGGGAGGCAGUAGUGGGGAAUAUUGCACAAUGGGCGGAAGCCUGAGGCAGAAACGCCGCGUGCGGGAUGAAGGCCUUCGGGUUGGAAACCGCUUUAGCCUGUGACGAAGCGUGAGUGACGGUAAUGGGUAAAGAAGCACCGGCUAACUACGUG
rnacentral:rRNA from 1 species